AAGGCAGUACAGCUUAUCGCUCAAAACUUAGUUUUGUGAGGAAAGUCCGGGCAACACAGGGCACCGUACUUCCUAACAGGAAGGUGCUGACAAGCUUUUGCUUGUUAGUAACAGCCAGUGCCACAGAAAAUAUACCGCCAUGGCAAACUUCGGUUUCGUCAUUGGUAAGGGUGAAAAGGUGAGGUAAGAGCUCACCGGUCCCGGUGUGAAUCGGGAUGCGAGGUAAACCUUACGGGUUGAAAGACCAAAUAGGUUCCGGAUAAAGCGGCCCGCUUACAUCCUUCGGGAUACCGGAAUGGGUAGGUCGAUCGAGCCUGAUGGUGACAUCAGGCCCAGAUAAAUGAUAAGCACUCUUUACGGAGUACAGAACCCGGCUUAUCGUUCUGCCUUUGUU
rnacentral:RNase_P_RNA from 1 species